UUCUUUCACUUACUUAUGAAAGACCCCCGAAGGGAGACCCUCACUCAAGCCUCGGGAUGUGGCACGGACCCAAGAGAGAUGCGGAGACCG
rnacentral:pre_miRNA from 7 species